rnacentral:misc_RNA from 1 species
GAUGAAGAACGCAGCGAAAUGCGAUACGUAAUGUGAAUUGCAAAUUCAGUGAAUCAUCGAGUCUUUGAACACACAUUGCGCCCCCUGGUAUUCCGGGGGGCAUGCCUGUCCGAGCGUCAUUGCUGCCCUCAAGCACGGCUUGUGUGUUGGGCCCCGUCCUCCGAUCCCGGGGGACGGGCCCGAAAGGCAGCGGCGGCACCGCGUCCGGUCCUCGAGCGUAUGGGGCUUUGUCACCCGCUCUGUAGGCCCGGCCGGCGCUUGCCGAUCAACCCAAAUUUUUUAUCCAGGUUGACCUCGGAUCAGGUAGGGAUACCCGCUGAACUUAAGCAUAUCAAUAAGCGAGGA